rnacentral:lncRNA from 13 species
AGAAAAUGUGUUUGGUGGAUAACCUGGAAAUGAGGCAAAAUGCGGCCGGCUUUGGGGAAGGUAUUUGAAGUUCCAGAACACCUUCCUGUUACCUUCUGGGCCUCCUCUGCAGUGAGCCAGGGUGACCGUGGCCACGGCUUCCUCCGUUCUGGCUGAUGAAAAGUUGCCAUUUCAGGCCCAGCCCAUACACUCCUUCUGCAUGAAGCCUCUCAUCCACUCUUCCCCAUCUGCUGGACACGGCGUAUGCAGUUGGUUGCUGCUGAUACCCAUGUUUGCCACCUCACCCGUCUGCAGGGUUUUGUGCUCCAUGUUGCAUCAAUAUGGUUUGGAAUAUUGGGCAAGUCUCCAUUUUCUCAUCAACAAAAUUGUGUCACGGUCCUGUCGGUUUUCCGUGUGUCUGUGACGGUGUGGCCUUUAGCGUGGGACCAGGCACCUUCUCCAAGAGCCACUACUGGGCCUUCGGGGUGUCCAGCCCCCUUCCAGGAUCAACUUGACCAGAAUGCACGAAUGACCACCGAGUCGCCCAGGGCGGCCCCGGGUCACAACAGCGAGCUCAGGGGCCCUGGGAAGGAGGAAGGCUCCUGCGGACGCCAGAGAGACUCCGGACCAGCUCCCAAGAUGAACCUGGAGGUACAUGGACCAGUGGACGCAGCACGCUGGAUGAGGGUGGCCUGGGUCUGCCAAGGCUAA